rnacentral:rRNA from 1 species
UACGAAGGGGGGCUAGCGUUGCUCGGAAUCACUGGGCGUAAAGGGCGCGUAGGCGGCCAUUUAAGUCGGGGGUGAAAGCCUGUGGCUCAACCACAGAAUUGCCUUCGAUACUGGAUGGCUUGAGUUCGGUAGAGGUUGGUGGAACUGCGAGUGUAGAGGUGAAAUUCGUAGAUAUUCGCAAGAACACCGGUGGCGAAGGCGGCCAACUGGACCGACACUGACGCUGAGGCGCGAAAGCGUGGGGAGCAAACAGG